rnacentral:rRNA from 1 species
AACGAACGCUGGCGGCAGGCCUAACACAUGCAAGUCGAGCGAGGACUUCGGUCCUAGCGGCGGACGGGUGAGUAACGCGUGGGAACGUGCCCUUUGCUUCGGAAUAGCCCUGGGAAACUGGGAGUAAUACCGGAUGAGCCCUUUGGGGGAAAGAUUUAUCGGCGAAGGAUCGGCCCGCGUUGGAUUAGGUAGUUGGUGGGGUAAUGGCCUACCAAGCCGACGAUCCAUAGCUGGUUUGAGAGGAUGAUCAGCCACACUGGGACUGAGACACGGCCCAGACUCCUACGGGAGGCAGCAGUGGGGAAUCUUAGACAAUGGGGGAAGCCCUGAUCUAGCCAUGCCGCGUGAGCGAUGAAGGCCUUAGGGUUGUAAAGCUCUUUCAGCUGGGAAGAUAAUGACGGUACCAGCAGAAGAAGCCCCGGCUAACUCCGUG